GAGACACCCCUCCGGGGCAAGACUUGCUUCAGUAGGGCUUUGGUGCUCACUGAGUCUGCCCCCUGAGUGUGUCCUU
rnacentral:pre_miRNA from 1 species